rnacentral:lncRNA from 1 species
UGUGGUUUCUUUGUUCAUGUUGUAAAGUUAAAAUUAACUUCACAGGCUAAUCUGCUUUUUUGGCAGUUUUUUCAAAAUUGUGAACAGUAGCAAUUUUGUUUGUAUUUGAUAAAUAUUGUUCAAUCAUAGGCUAAUUAGGCUCAAAAGAUUCGUCUCCCAAAUUACAUGCAAAUUGUGUAAUUAGUUAUCUUUUUACUUAUAUUUAAUGAUCCAUGCAUGUGGCGUAAGAUUCGAUGUGACGGGGAAUCCGAAAAAUUUUACAAAUUUUUUUGAAACUAAACAAGGCCUAAGAAAAAACUACCAAAAAAGAAGCAGAUG